rnacentral:rRNA from 1 species
UACGGAGGGAGCUAGCGUUGUUCGGAAUUACUGGGCGUAAAGCGCACGUAGGCGGCUUUGUAAGUUAGAGGUGAAAGCCCGGAGCUCAACUCCGGAAUUGCCUUUAAGACUGCAUCGCUUGAAUCCAGGAGAGGUGAGUGGAAUUCCGAGUGUAGAGGUGAAAUUCGUAGAUAUUCGGAAGAACACCAGUGGCGAAGGCGGCUCACUGGACUGGUAUUGACGCUGAGGCGCGAAAGCCAGGGGAGCAAACGGG